UACGUAGGGCGCAAGCGUUGUCCGGAAUCACUGGGCGUAAAGGGCGCGUAGGCGGCCUGGCAAGUCGAUGGUGAAAGCCCGAGGCUCAACUUCGGGUCGGCCACUGAUACUGCUGGGCUUGAGUCGACUAGAGGCAGAUGGAAUUCCGGGUGUAGCGGUGGAAUGCGUAGAGAUCCGGAAGAACACCGGUGGCGAAGGCGGUCUGCUGGGGUCGAACUGACGCUGAGGCGCGACAGCGUGGGGAGCAAACAGG
rnacentral:rRNA from 1 species